AAGAAUCUAUUACCCUUGGUUCGGCGUUGGAAAUGGAACCAAAUGUUUGAACAACUUUCAUUGUCCUCCGCUUUCAACACUGUUUUCCUGUUCUUUUAGUCUGAUUGACUGUUGUUCUUUGAAUGUGAUUGCAUACUUCUGUGAUCAAGAAACAGAAAUUGCCAAUUCCAGUUUAAGGCUAGCAGGAGGUACUAAUAUUUCUGGACGCGUGGAAGUUCAAUUUCAAGAUGUAUGGGGGUCAGUAGAGACGAAUAAAUGGGAUGCAAUAGACUCUAAAAUUGUUUGCCGAUCUCUUGAUCUACCAUGGAGAGCUUCCUUGGCGGUGAAGAAUGGACUUUAUGGACAUGCUAAAGGGAAGUCUUGGAUAACAGACACAGAUUGCACAGGUCUUGAAAGUAACCUUUACCAAUUUUUGUUCAAUGUGCAAGGAGAAAAAGCGACUCUUUCAUACCCUGCUGGAGUCAUUUGUGCGGACUCGAUUCCUGUUAGACUCGUUAAUGGAGCUAUUCCAACUUCCGGAAGAGUGGAGGUAUACAUUGAUGGAAAGUGGGGAUCUGUAAUCGUUAGAUCAA